UUCCAAUCUUAGUAACCAGAAAUCCUUUGACUCCUAUAAAGUUAAAAUCAUAUUCAUCAAUCAAUUUUAGAAAAUUACUAAACUAAUCAUUUAUAUCCAAAUUACAUAAUAUCAUUCGAAUACUUAGCUCUUUGAUUAUAACUUCUUUGCCUCUUUUCUUUAUCUUUCUUCACGUAGCUACAUAUUUAUCUUUUUCAUUCACGAGAAAAUCUACUAUAUCACACUUACACCAUAUUAUUAAUAGUCGACUAAUCAUAUUUCUCUUAUGAGAGAAAAGUACAAUAAUAAUAUUUUUUUAUAAUCAUAAUGGGAUGAGUAAAUUAAAAAAAAUAUUUUUUUAUAAUCAUGAUGGGAUGAGUAAAUUUUAAAAAAUAAUAUAAUUGGCUAGAAAUGUCGCAUCAGCAAUAUAAAAAAAUAUAUUCUAGAUUUUUUUUCUUUUAUUUAUUAUAUAUAUAUAUAUAUAUAUAUAUAUAUAUAUAUAUAUUAUGGAAAACAUAAAA
rnacentral:lncRNA from 1 species